AUCCAGAUGACGAGUCCCAAAUAGGACGAAAUGCAUAUCCUCAAU
rnacentral:hammerhead_ribozyme from 1 species